GAUGAACGCUGGCGGCGUGCUUAACACAUGCAAGUCGAACGGUGAAGCACCUUCCUUUUGGUGGGUGUGGAUGAGUGGCGAACGUGUGAGUAACACGUGAGUCACCUGCCCCCUUCUUCUGUAUAACCGCAUGAACGUGUGGCUAAUACGGGAUAUUCUGUGCCUGCUGCAUGGUGGGUGUGGGAAAGAUGCGCUUUUGGGUGUUUUUGGUGGGGGAUGGGCUCGCGGCCUAUCAUCUGGUUGGUGCGGUGAUGGCCUACCAAGGCGGUGAAGGGUAGCCGGGAUGAGGGGGUGGACGGUCACAAUGGGACUGAGACACGGCCCAGAAUCGUACGGGAGGCAGCAGUAGGGAAUAUUGCACGAUGGGGGCAAGCCUGAUGCAGCGACGCCGCGUGAGAGAUGGAGGGCUUCGGGUUGUAAACCUCUUUCGCAAGUGAAGCAGGCCUGUCACUUGUGGGUGGGUUGACGGUAGCUGGAUAAGAAGCGCCGGCUAACUACGUG
rnacentral:rRNA from 1 species